AAGAAAACUGAAAGAAAAAUUAAAAUGAAACUGCUCCAUAUUACUUUUUUUUGCCUCUAGUUUUUGGCAGAUGGGAGAAUUCAACAUUAUUCAAUGAAUAAAUGAAUAUACUCAAGGGAUCUGAGAGAAUGAAGAAGGCCCUACACACUGAAAACUUUGGCAUUUGAAUCAAGGAAGUCACCACAUUUUAUGCAGCAUUGUCAGGACACCUUGAGGAGAGGCCCCGGUAGUAAUACGCAAUUUGAAUAGCACCCCAUGGAGCCAAGUCACCACAGAGCAUGGCUGCAGGAGAAGCUUUCCAGGCAUCCUCACUGCAGCACAUGGAUCAGCCUCGCCGAGAGACUCUCUUGCAUCAGACCCAGCUUAAAAUUGCGUUCCAGUAUAAGCUACUUCUGUGGAGUGGGAUGGCUCUUGAUGUCUGUGCAGGAAGACCUAUGUAGAAUAAUGGUACAAAUCCAUUGUUCUCAUCUCCCUGGGAAAAUGACAUUGUUGCAAAAGACUGUGAAUUUACCAUGAAAUUGACAUUGUACAUGAACUGAAUAAAAA